AUGGCAACCGGACUUUUGUGAGGAAUGCAAAUUCGAAUACAUGAUGCCUCUUGGUGCUUAGCUCAAAUAUCUGGGUUUUUAUAGCAGCAGCAUGCAGUUCGGGUCAAAAUAUAUACCAUCCCACCGUAGGGGAAACUAAUGGUUUCUUCAACAUUUUUUACUCUGAGAACUAUUGGGUUCUGAAGCGGCAACAUCCCUGGAAGGAAGGCUUGGGAAACAAAGUACUUAUUUGUCUAGUCGACUGGCCGCUGAAGCGAUAGAUGGAAGGGAGCGAUUGACAAGAAAACACUUGUUUAGAUUUUACAACACAGGCAAUAGCACCGCUUGAUAAAUUCUAGAAAAGAAAAAAGUUCUUCGUUACGCACCUGGGAGGCAUUUGGAAGCAAAUUUUGUAUAAGAGCAGAUACUAGAAAAGUCGUUGCAAAUAUGGAGAGUAUACUCUUUGCAUAAGAGGUAAAGGAGGAAAGGGGGAGGGGCGAGGGGGUGGUGUAAGAUAAAUGACAAAUAAUUUAUCAAAACAAUUCGAAUAUCAGCGGUCAACACCAGAACAAAGUGAAGCUAGAAAAGACGAAGCACCAACAGGCUAGUGAAGGGCCAAGUAAGAGAAGGGAAUAGGAACCAAGAUAUGCACGUCCGCAAUGUCUGGAGACGUGACCGCGCGAAUAAGGAUCGGGUGAAAC
rnacentral:sRNA from 1 species